UACGUAGGGCGCAAGCGUUGUCCGGAAUUAUUGGGCGUAAAGAGCUCGUAGGCGGUCUGUCGCGUCGGAUGUGAAAGCCCGGGGCUUAACCCCGGGUCUGCAUUCGAUACGGGCAGACUAGAGUGUGGUAGGGGAGAUCGGAAUUCCUGGUGUAGCGGUGAAAUGCGCAGAUAUCUGGAGGAACACCGGUGGCGAAGGCGGUUCUCUGGGCAUUACCUGACGCUGAGGAGCGAAAGUGUGGGGAGCGAACAGG
rnacentral:rRNA from 1 species